GAAAACUCUUUUUUAGAAGCUCUUCAAAUUAAAAACUACUAGUAAUUUCUUCCUUCCCAAAACUAAAUAAACCUCCUUCGACUGUGCAGGGUACAUUUCUCGAUAUCAGACCACACCUCUGUUUUCUGUAAGCCUCUUAUUGGUUCCCUAACGAAUGUUGUUAAUUACGUUGUACGUUGUUCUGACUAUUUAUUCAGCUUCGGUUGUAGCCACGAACGCAUCGAUCUCUUGCGGUGAAGGUGAUGACAGAGAUUAUUAACUCAUGCUUAGUUUUGAGUUCAGAAGAAAGCACGCAGCAGAGGACAAGAUCGCUACUUCAUUUCAGAAAUCUCGAAGUGCAGCCAAGAAGUUGCUUGAAGAUUUCACAAAGAAAGGAGGACUAGAAUCGCCAAAAGAAUAGGUCCAAAGUCCAAUGAAAUUAAAAUUCAUUAUUGUAUUGUGUGCCUCAAUUAGCACGUUUGUAUGUAUGGGACAAUGGGAGCCAACUUGGAGCACAAGAGCUGCAGAAGAAGCUGAGGUUGUGGCAGCAAUACCAUGUUCAGGACAUGGAAGAGCCUACUUAGAUGGUCUUAUUCUUAAAGAUAUGAAUAAGUCUCUUUGUGAAUGCAAUUCAUGCUAUGCUGGAUCUGACUGCUCCCAGUUUUUAUCUGAUUGCCCUGCCAACGCUGAUGGUGGUGAUCCAUAUUUUAUGGAGCCAUUUUGGAUGUGAAAUGCAGCAAGUAGUGCCAUCUUAGUAUCAGGAUGGCAUAGAAUGGGUUAUUCUUAUAGCGAUGGAUCAUACAUCUCACAACUAUUGGUUGAGUACAUAAAAAAACUUGAUGCCAUCGUUGGGAAUGCAAUCAGCGAAGGAAAGUACAUCGUAUUUGGAAGUGGCUCAACCCUCUUCUCAAUGCUGCUGUUUAUGCCUUGUCUCCCUACUCUUCAAUGUUUCCAGCAAAAGUGGUAGCCACAGCACCAUAUUAUCCGGGAUUUUAGUUAUGAAGGAGACACAUCCUUGUGGAAAAACAACACAAAUAGCAGCUUCAGAUUUAUUGAGUUUGUGACUUCACCAAACAAUCCAGAUGGAAAGUUGAACAAGGGAGUUCUCAAAGGCUCUGAUGUGAAAACCAUUUAUGAUCGAGCCUAUUAUUGGCCACAUUUCACUGCUAUUUCUUCACCAGCUGAUGAUGAUCUUAUGGUGUUUACAAUUUCUAAGCUCACAGGCCAUGCUGGGAGUAGAUUUUGAUGGACAAUAAUAAAGGAUGAGGCAGUAUAUCAAAAGAUGAUGAUAUAUUUGAGAUUGAGCACCAUUGGAAUUUCCCGUGACGUUCAGCUGAGAGUUUUAAAGCUUUUGGACGUGGCUACUGAAGGAGAUGGAAAAGAAAUAUUCCAAUUUACAUAUUCAACAAUGAGAGAUCGUUGGAUAAGGUUAAAACAAAUCAUAUAUAAAUCAAAACAGUUUUCUCUACAGAAAUUGUUUCCCAAUACUGUGCCUUUUUCAAGAGGGUCAGAGAUCCUUCACCAGGUAAAUGUUAAUUUCUGAUCACAUUUUUAGGUUUUUAUCAUUUUUUAAUUAUGUUUAUAAAUAUUACAUUUGUUCUUAACCAUUUUAAUUUUGAUUGUGUCUUACGCCAUUUAUUUCAUCAAUUUUAUGAAGAAUUAAUUAAUUGCCGUCUAACUUCACCAGCACAAUAAAAAGUUGAGUAAAUAUAUGAAGU